GAUGAACGCUGGCGGCGUGCUUAACACAUGCAAGUCGAACGGAAAGGCCCAAGCUUGCUUGGGUACUCGAGUGGCGAACGGGUGAGUAACACGUGGGUGAUCUGCCCUGCACUUCGGGAUAAGCCUGGGAAACUGGGUCUAAUACUGGAUAGGACCACUUCUUGGAUGGUGUGGUGGAAAGUUUUUUCGGUGUGGGAUGAGCUCGCGGCCUAUCAGCUUGUUGGUGGGGUAAUGGCCUACCAAGGCGUCGACGGGUAGCCGGCCUGAGCGGGUGUACGGCCACAUUGGGACUGAGGUACGGCACAGACUCCGACGGGAGGCAGCAGGGGGGAAUAUUGAACAAUGGGCGCAAGCCUGAUGCAGCGACGCCGCGUGGGGGAUGACGGCCUUCGGGUUGUAAACUCCUUUCGCUAGGGACGAAGCGUUUUUGUGACGGUACCUGGAGAAGAAGCACCGGCUAACUACGUG
rnacentral:rRNA from 1 species